rnacentral:rRNA from 1 species
AGUCGAGGGGAAACGACAUCGAAAGCUUGCUUUUGAUGGGCGUCGACCGGCGCUCGGGUGAGUAACGCGUAUCCAACCUGCCCACCACUUGGGGAUAACCUUGCGAAAGUAAGACUAAUACCCAUAUGAUAUCUCUAGAAGACAUCUGAAAGAGAUUAAAGAUUUAUCGGUGAUGGAUGGGGAUGCGUCUGAUUAGCUUGUUGGCGGGGUAACGGCCCACCAAGGCAACGAUCAGUAGGGGUUCUGAGAGGAAGGUCCCCCACAUUGGAACUGAGACACGGUCCAAACUCCUACGGGAGGCAGCAGUGAGGAAUAUUGGUCAAUGGACGAGAGUCUGAACCAGCCAAGUAGCGUGCAGGAUGACGGCCCUAUGGGUUGUAAACUGCUUUUAUAAGGGAAUAAAGUUAGUCUCGUGAGACUUUUUGCAUGUACCUUAUGAAUAAGGACCGGCUAAUUCCGUGCCAGCAGCCGCGGUAAUACGGAAGGUCCGGGCGUUAUCCGGAUUUAUUGGGUUUAAAGGGAGCGUAGGCCGGAGAUUAAGCGUGUUGUGAAAUGUAGAUGCUCAACAUCUGCACUGCAGCGCGAACUGGUUUCCUUGAGUACGCACAAAGUGGGCGGAAUUCGUGGUGUAGCGGUGAAAUGCUUAGAUAUCACGAAGAACUCCGAUUGCGAAGGCAGCUCACUGGAGCGCAACUGACGCUGAAGCUCGAAAGUGCGGGUAUCGAACAGGAUUAGAUACCCUGGUAGUCCGCACGGUAAACGAUGGAUGCCCGCUGU